rnacentral:rRNA from 1 species
UACGUAGGGUGCGAGCGUUGUCCGGAAUUAUUGGGCGUAGAGAGCUCGUAGGCGGUCUGUCGCGUCGAUCGUGAAAACUUGGGGCUUAACCCUGAGCUUGCGGUCGAUACGGGCAUGACUGGAGUUCGGCAGGGGAGACUGGAAUUCCUGGUGUAGCGGUGAAAUGCGCAGAUAUCAGGAAGAACACCCGUGGCGAAGGCGGUUCUCUGGGACGGUACUGACGCUGAGACGCGAAAGCGUGGGGAGCGAACAGG